rnacentral:rRNA from 1 species
AACACGGGGAAACUCACCAGGUCCAGACACAACUAGGAUUGACAGAUUGAGAGCUCUUUCUUGAUUUUGUGGGUGGUGGUGCAUGGCCGUUCUUAGUUGGUGGAGUGAUUUGUCUGCUUAAUUGCGAUAACGAACGAGACCUUAACCUGCUAAAUAGCCCAACUGGCUUUGGCUGGCUGCUGGCUUCUUAGAGGGACAUUCGGCUUAAGCCGACGGAAGUUUGAGGCAAUAACAGGUCUGUUAUGCCCUUAGAUGUUCUGGGCCACACGCGCGCUACACUGACAGAGCCAGCGGGUUUUUUUCCUUAACCGAAAGGUUUGGGUAAACCUAGAAACUCUGUCGUGCUGGGGAUAGAGCAUUGCAAUUAUUGCUCUUCAACGAGGAAUGCCUAGUAAGCGCAUGUCAUCAGCAUGCGUUGAUUACGUCCCUGCCCUUUGUACACACCGCCCGUCGCUACUACCGAUUGAAUGGCCAAGUGAGGCAUUCUGACUGACCUGAGG